rnacentral:rRNA from 1 species
GACGAACGCUGGCGGCGUGCUUAACACAUGCAAGUCGAACGGAGAUCUCGGUGCUUGCACCGGGUGAUCAGUGGCGAACGGGUGAGUAACACGUGACUAACCUGCCCCCGACUCUGGGAUAACCCCGGGAAAUCGGAGCUAAUACCGGAUACGAGACGCACAGGCAUCUGUAGCGUCUGGAAAGAAUUUCGGUCGGGGAUGGAGUCGCGGCCUAUCAGCUAGUUGGUGGGGUAACGGCCCACCAAGGCGACGACGGGUAGCCGGCCUGAGAGGGCGACCGGCCACACUGGGACUGAGACACGGCCCAGACUCCUACGGGAGGCAGCAGUGGGGAAUAUUGCACAAUGGGCGAAAGCCUGAUGCAGCGACGCCGCGUGGGGGAUGAAGGCCUUCGGGUUGUAAACCCCUUUCAGCAGGGAAGAAGCGAAAGUGACAAUACCUACAAAAGAAGCGCCGGCUAACUACGUGCCAGCAGCCGCGGUAAUACGUAGGGCGCAAGCGUUGUCCGGAUUUAUUGGGCGUAAAGAGCUCGUAGGCGGUUUGUCGCGUCUGCUGUGAAAACCCGAGGCUCAACCUCGGGCCUGCAGUGGGUACGGGCAGACUAGAGUGCGGUAGGGGAGACUGGAAUUCCUGGUGUAGCGGUGGAAUGCGCAGAUAUCAGGAGGAACACCGAUGGCGAAGGCAGGUCUCUGGGCCGCAACUGACGCUGAGGAGCGAAAGCAUGGGGAGCGAACAGGAUUAGAUACCCUGGUAGUCCAUGCCGUAAACGUUGGGCACUAGGUGUGGGACUCAUUCCACGAGUUCCGUGCCGCAGCUAACGCAUUAAGUGCCCCGCCUGGGGAGUACGGCCGNCAGGCUA